AUUGAACGCUGGCGGCAUGCCUCACACAUGCAAGUCGAACGGCAGCGCGGGAGCUUGCUCCUGGCGGCGAGUGGCGAACGGGUGAGUAAUACAUCGGAACGUACCCAGAAGUGGGGGAUAACGUAGCGAAAGUUACGCUAAUACCGCAUAUUCUGUGAGCAGGAAAGUUGGGGAUCGCAAGACCUCACGCUUUUGGACCGGCCGAUGUCGGAUUAGCUAGUUGGCGAGGUAAAGGCUCACCAAGGCGACGAUCCGUAGCGGGUCUGAGAGGAUGAUCCGCCACACUGGGACUGAGACACGGCCCAGACUCCUACGGGAGGCAGCAGUAGGGAAUUUUGGACAAUGGGGGCAACCCUGAUCCAGCCAUGCCGCGUGAGUGAAGAAGGCCUUCGGGUUGUAAAGCUCUUUCGCGAGGGAAGAAAGCGCACUGGUUAAUACCUGGUGUGGAUGACGGUACCUUGAUAAGAAGCACCGGCUAACUACGUGCCAGCCGCCGCAGUAA
rnacentral:rRNA from 1 species